CCUAGGGGCGGCAGCAGUGGGGAAUAUUGGACAAUGGGCGAAAGCCUGAUCCAGCCAUGCCGCGUGUGUGAAGAAGGCCUUCGGGUUGUAAAGCACUUUCAGUGGGGAAGAAAGCCUUGGGGCUAAUACCCUCGAGGAAGGACAUCACCCACAGAAGAAGCACCGGCUAACUCCGUGCCAGCAGCCGCGGUAAUACGGAGGGUGCGAGCGUUAAUCGGAAUUACUGGGCGUAAAGCGCGCGUAGGCGGUCUGAUAAGCCGGUUGUGAAAGCCCCGGGCUCAACCUGGGAACGGCAUCCGGAACUGUCAGGCUAGAGUGCAGGAGAGGAAGGUAGAAUUCCCGGUGUAGCGGUGAAAUGCGUAGAGAUCGGGAGGAAUACCAGUGGCGAAGGCGGCCUUCUGGACUGACACUGACGCUGAGGUGCGAAAGCGUGGGUAGCAAACAGGAUUAGAUACCCCGGUAGUC
rnacentral:rRNA from 1 species